GAUGAAGAACGUAGCGAAAUGCGAUAAGUAGUGUGAAUUGCAGAAUUCAGUGAAUCAUCGAAUCUUUGAACGCACAUUGCGCCCUUUGGUAUUCCUUAGGGCAUGCCUGUUCGAGCGUCAUUUAAACCCUUCAAGCUCAGCUUGGUGUUGGGUGACUGUCCGCAGCCCCCGGGCGCGGACUCGCCCCAAAUUCAUUGGCGGCCGGUACGUAGGCUUCGAGCGCAGCAGAAACGCGAACUCGGGCCCGCGGUGUCGGCUCCCAGAAGCCAUCUCUUUUAUUUUGACCUCGGAUCAGGUAGGGAUACCCGCUGAACUUAAGCAUAUCAAUAAGCGGAGGA
rnacentral:misc_RNA from 1 species